rnacentral:piRNA from 1 species
UGUGGACAAGGCCAGUGGCAAUGUGGAGC